UGUAAGUUUAAAUGUGCAUUAAAGUUCUUAUUAAAAUCGAGGAACAGAAUUUUAGAGAUAUAAUUGUAAGAAAGAUAAGUAGGUAUACGGAAAUACGAUUAGUAUUUUCUUCCUGUGGAUAUAUCCCUCCCUCUACUGAUCUAAACUCUGGUAUAAAAGGCAGUUCUGAUAAAGUUAAUUAAUUGUUUUGACUAACGUCUUAUGUAACAAUGUUUACAAUUCGGUUAAUAAAUCCUGUGAUUUUUAUUAUAACAUAUAAUACGAUCAACGUAAAAGAAUGUAAUUUGGAAAACAUUCCGUCUCGACUACAUCUUGACAAAGUCGUACAAGAAACUAUAUGUGUAAGAGAGAAGAAAGAUACUUUAGGAGUACAGUAUGAUUCUUACUUCAAAUCCUUGAAAAAGCAGACAUGUUAUCCUAAAGACUGUAAAGAAGUUCAACUAAGUGGUAACCAUGUAACAGGAAUCUACGAAAUCUAUCCAGAACACGCAGAAGCACACUUUCCAGUACUGUGUGAUAUGGAAACUAGGGGAGGGGGUUGGACUCUUAUCCAGAAAAGGUUUGAUGGAUCACAGGACUUCUUUCUUGGAUGGCGGGACUACAAAUUUGGUUUUGGCAGUUUGGAAGGCGAAUUCUGGUUGGGAUUGCAGAAAAUAUAUUUAUUGACAGGUUUCGAAACAACCGAACUUCUUGUAGAAAUAGUAGCCAGAGACAAGACGUCUGGUUACGCCCAUUACAGUUCUUUUGCAAUAGGACCCGAACCCGGAGGAUACAAGCUAGAACGUCUGUCAGGAUAUAGCGGAGAUAUAGGAGACUGCUUGGCUUAUCAUCGUGGAUCAAAAUUCAGUACAAAAGAUUUAGACUUUACCAACAAAAGCUGCGCUACAACAUAUCAUGGUGGUUGGUGGUAUUAUGAAUGUCUUUGGAGCAAUCUCAAUGGAAGGUAUAUAAAUAUUGACCUACCUUUAAAAUAUAAGCAUCAAGGGCUUCAGUGGGAUACAUUCAAGGAAAAUGGGAAUAGUCAUUCGAAAUCUAGGAUGUUAAUUAGGUCCAUAAAUUAAAGCAUAUUUAAUCAUAUCUUAAACAUAACUAAACUCGAUACAUUUUUAUAUAAAAGAUAAUAUUUUCAAAAUGUUCCCUGCUUUUAUAUUAUAUCGUUUUAUAAACCUUAUUGUAAAGGGUUCUCUGCUUGUCAAAAUUUACUUAAUUAUUACUAAAAUAAGGCAAAGUCAGUUAAGACAUAUUUAACUAUCUUUAUAUGUUGUUGUAAAUGAUAUUUUCAAUGUAAAAGAUGGUUGUUCUAUAGCACGUUUUCUUAAAUUAAGAAUACAUUAUACGAAUAAUGUCUACAUGAGUUGAUAAAUUAAUUAUAUAUUACGAAAAACAGAAAAUUUAUUAUUAAAAUAUAUUCCUGAUGAUCUUUUGGUUUGAAAUUUGGACAAAAAAACUGUACAGUUUCCUUAAAUAGAAAAAGCGGCUGUUGAAUCGAAUGUAAAUGCAAUUGAAGUGCAGCGGAGGACGAGUGAGCUAAAAUUGAUGGAGCAUAUUGCCACGAAGACACCCCGCCAUGAAUUUUUCAGGGACCUUCGAUCACAUGGGAAAUUCCGGAUUGCGGCUUGAUAAAAGGCUCUGCUAGCUAUUAUUUGUCUGUGCACAGAUGUAAACUGAAUAAAAAAGUUAUAAAUGAAUUAUCCCGUAGGCAAUUGACUACGGAAAACUGAUGAAAACAAUUAUUUAGUACCUUUACCACCUUGUAGAGAGGGGAAACAAUAAAAACAACAUAAAAUAGACCAUAAUUAAUUCAGUAUCACUCAUACUGUUACCCAACAAUAGACGAAGUUAUGUUGAAGUGUAAUUAGAUUUGGGUUGCAUAUAAUUAAAAAUAUCAUAAACGCCAUCUUAUUACUAUUUGUGCACAUAUGUAUAAUUAAAAACAUCAUAACUGUAUCUUAUUUAUUACUCUUUGUUUGCGUAAAAUGAGAAGAUGUUUGGAGAACCUUAUUAUUAUUACGUUUCAACGCAAAUACUUUUAUAUAUUACUGCACUUUGUUUUACUUUAAGCUUUAUUUCUAAAAUUUACAGUAUGAACUAUAUGAAAAAUACAGGAAAGUAGUUGACUAUACCAAGGAAAGUGACACAUAUAUUUAUUCAUUUAAAGAAACAUGUGAAAACUCCAGUAACAAAAUUUUAGAAAUAUAAAUGUAACAAAGAUAAGUUUACGGAAAUACGAUUAGUAUUUUUUUCCUGUGGAUAUAUCCCUCUCCCUAAAGGCUCGUACUUCUCUGGUAUAAAAAGGCAGUUCUGAUAAAGUUAAUCUUGUGUUUUCACUAACGACUUAUGUGACAAUGUUUACAAUUCGACUAAUGAACACUGUGGUUUUCAUUAUAACAUAUAAUACGAUCAACAUAAGAGAAUGUAAUUUGGAGAAUAUUUCUUCAGUGCACCGUGACAAAGUCGUACAAGAAACUAUAUGUCUAAGAGAGAAGAAAGUUACUUUAGGAGUACAGUAUGAUUCUUACUUCAAAUCCUUGAAAAAG